UACGUAGGGUGCAAGCGUUGUCCGGAAUCAUUGGGCGUAAAGCGCGCGUAGGCGGCCCGGUAAGUCCGCUCUGAAAGUCCAGGGCUUAACCCUGGAAAGCGGGUGGAUACUGCCGGGCUUGAAUCCGGAAGAGGCGAGUGGAAUUCCUGGUGUAGCGGUGGAAUGCGCAGAUAUCAGGAGGAACACCAAUAGCGAAGGCAGCUCGCUGGGACGGUAUUGACGCUAAGGCGCGAAAGCGUGGGGAGCAAACAGG
rnacentral:rRNA from 1 species